UUGUGUUUUUUUUCUCUCUCUACACAGUGGUUACGCUGCAGAUGAAAUUACCCACUGUAUUCGACCACAGGAUAUAAAGGAAAGAAGAGCUGUCAUCAUACUCAGAAAAACAAGGUCUGAUGCCCCACGAUUGGAAACCAAGGUAUUAAGUGCUACAGAUCCUCCUGCUGCCACCCCAGAAAGACCCUGGAUAUUGAAACCAAAGCGAUCGCAUCGUAAGGCAGACCCUGAUGCUGCUCAUAGGCCUCGAGUAUUGGAAAUGGACAAAGAAGAAAACAGACGCUCUGUCGUUUUACCAGAACACAGGAGAAAGAGUGGUUCCAGCUCCGAGAAUUACUGGAGAAGGUCCCACGAGGCUUCAGACAGUUACGAUGACACAGACGACAAUGCAAACACAGCCAGGAAAGUGAAAAUGAGACGACACUGAAGGAGGCAAGUUUGGCUGGUGCUCUCCAAAUCUAGCCAACGUGUUGGGGGAAUUAUUGAAAUCCCUGUUUGCAUGCAGGUUUAGAAGUAGUUGUUUUUUUUUUUUUUUUUUUUUAAAGACGUCAGCUACCAAGCAGCACACUAACAGUUACUCUGCUGGUUGUGAUCAAAUAUUUUAUUUUAUUUUAUCAGACAUUUUGAUUUAAUGUGAUGGAUGGGGGAGGGGGGUCCCCUUUCCUGACACUGCAGUGGACAGUAACUGAGAAGCAUUAUUACAAGUAGCUACAAGUUCAGUUGACCACUUCUCUGUAUCUGUGCAUCCUCAGAAUCUCAAUGUGUGUACUAUACUUGGAUGUGGUACUUACUGUUGCAUACAGAGAGGCUUCUAUAGUCAAGUCUGGGGAGGAGUGGCUGCAUGUCCACACAGAUUAAAUUCUCAUCGUGCCAAUACAGAUCCUUCUGGUCAUGAAUUUGAAGAAUGUAUUAAUAGAAAGUGUUCUUUCUAUUAAUACAAAGUUUGUGGAAGGAACUUGCUUGUCUUUUUUUUUUUUUUUUUUGUGGGCAGAUUUACUAUAUUUUUUAUUUCUGAUAUGCAAAGACCUGCUCAGCAACUUUUUUUUUUUUUUUUUCAAACCAAAAUGUAACUCUUUGUACACCGAAAUGUGAGUGUGUGCAUCUGACUGUGUGUAGGAGUGUUUGUGGGAAAAUUCUUCUAAAAUAAAGUUGCCAUGAUUUAUUUCACAGGCUUCUCUGUUCAGUGCUUGCAUUGUUAUCUUUUUAUUUCAAUUAUUUUGGAGUUGUUAAAGGUGCAGUAUCUGCUUUUCAGAUCAAACGCAAAGAAGUGUUAAAUAUUAAAACCAAGUUAUAAAACUUCGAGAAUAUAUUUUAUACUUUCACAUUUUGGCCACUUCAUUUUUAAAUGGUGGCAUAUCUAAAUGCUGCAAAUUUUAAAUAUGUAAAGGUCCCUUUUUUAAAUUAUUCAAACAGUUGCUCUUGUGUUUACAUCAAUUAAAUAUACAGUACUUUUAAAUAACAAUUAAAUAUACAGUAAUAUCUUCUGAUCUAUCCACAGCAACAUGGAAAUACCCCAUCUCCUGCCACAGUUUUAAUAUUUGGGCACUUCUUAUGCUUUGAGAGAUGAAAUAUUGUUGCGUUUAAUUGAAAAGCGAAUGCUUGCAUUUGUUUUGUUGCCUAUAGGAUGUCUUGUUUUCAAAGGAGAAAACGUAUAUAUUUGCUUGUAACAAAGAUGUACAGUUAUGUAAAGGGUAAGAAAUUGUACUCUAAGGAAUUAUAUAAAUGAGAUAUUUUAUGUAAAAAAAAAUAAAUAAAAAAAUGUAUUCUGGUUAUUGUUUUAAAGCUGCUUUUUAUUAUUAUUUGUUCUUUUAAUGGAGCUGUAAAAGAAUAAACUAUCUUGUUUGUUCCUGGAUUUUGCUGACAUUAAUUGAUUGAGGAAGAGUAACAGUUCUCACUGGUCAGUCUAAUCUGUAGUGACUUCACUGAGCAGUUAGUCCUGCACAGAUUUGUGAUCUCCAUAGCAAGAGAUUUAAUGUACAUUUUUUAUGCCUACGUGCCCAACCUAAAUUGCAAGAUGUUCUAUAGUUAACAGUAUGAAAGCUGCACUCUUGGCUUGCAUUUAUGUAGGCAAUCUUUGCAACUUGAGUUGCUGCAGCAUGGAUUAAAUAUGUCUUCACAUUCUAAGGGAUCUGUAACACCAUAAUUAGACAGUAAGAACUUUACUGUGUUGAAGUUACUUUUACCAGGUUGUAACCUAGAAACAGAAGUCAAAUGAUUGCCCUGUGCGAACAGCAGGGAUUGAUGAAUAUCUGUUAUUCUUUUGAACAGCUCCACUGGUAGGUUUUUUGACCUUCACGCAUUAUUUGACUUGUAUAAAUUGCUACAUUUGAUUGAAUAAAAGCAGAAAGCAA